AACGAACGCUGGCGGCGCGCCUAAUACAUGCAAGUCGAGCGAGAAGACGUAGCAAUACGUUUGUAAAGCGGCGAACGGGUGAGGAAUACAUGGGUAACCUACCCUCGAGUGGGGAAUAACUAGCCGAAAGGUUAGCUAAUACCGCGUACGCUCCUUGGACUUCGGUUCAGGGAGGAAAGCGAUACCGUGGGUAUCGCGCUCUUGGAUGGGCUCAUGUCCUAUCAGCUUGUUGGNGAGGUAACGGCUCACCAAGGCUUCGACGGGUAGCUGGUCUGAGAGGACAAUCAGCCACACUGGCACUGCGACACGGGCCAGACUCCUACGGGAGGCAGCAGUAAGGAAUAUUGCGCAAUGGGCGAAAGCCUGACGCAGCGACGCCGC
rnacentral:rRNA from 1 species